ACGGGAGGCAGCAGUGGGGAAUCUUGCCCAAUGGGCGAAAGCCUGAGGCAGCGACGCCGCGUGCGGGAAGAAGGCCUUCGGGUUGUAAACCGCUUUCAGGAGGGACGAAGCCACUCGGGUUAAUAGCCCAGAGGGUGACGGUACCUCCAGAAGAAGCCCCGGCUAACUACGUGCCAGCAGCCGCGGUAAUACGUAGGGGGCUAGCGUUGUCCGGAUUUAUUGGGCGUAAAGAGCGUGUAGGCGGCCAGGUAGGUCCGCUGUGAAAACUCGAGGCUCAACCUCGAGAGGUCGGUGGAAACCAUCUGGCUAGAGUCCGGAAGAGGAGAGUGGAAUUCCCGGUGUAGCGGUGAAAUGCGCAGAUAUCGGGAAGAAUAUCCGUGGCGAAGGCGGCUCUCUGGGACGGUACUGACGCUGAGACGCGAAAGCGUGGGGAGCGAACAGGAUUAGAUACCCUGGUA
rnacentral:rRNA from 1 species